CGGCUGCGGCGGGGGCGGAGCUGGCGGAGGAAGUCCGAGGCCUGCUCGGGCUCGCGCUGCCCGGGGGACGCCGGGACUGGGAGGCCGGGCGGCCGGGGCCCUGCGGUGGCGGCGGCGGUGGCGGCAGGACCCCCUGUGCGGAGCGCCAUAUGAGACGGUUUCAGCGGAAGCACCUCACAGCUGUCGACUGCCAGCAUCUGGCUCGGAGUCACUUGGCUGCGACGCAGCCCUUCUCUCAAAGAUGGACGCACAGAGACCCGAACCACGGUCUCUAUCCUAGACCCAGAACAAGAACAGGGACUAGGGGUCGAGGAUGCCCAAGAUACGGCCCUGAAUUCUUCCUCGCCGGCCAGCAGCGGUGCACCAAUGACAUGGCCAAGAGCAAUUCUGUGGGCCAGGACAGUUCUAAGGACUCGGAAGACGGAAUGAUCUUUGCUGCAGAGAGCAGUUGUGGCCUCCCUCGGGAUAGCGAUGGAGAAGCAGGGCUGGGCUCGUUCGGGGCGGCUGUGCCUGCAAGGAAGCGGUCUUGGUCCUUCGAGGACGAGAGGAAUCUGGCCACAGGGACCAGUCAGUUGGACGGGGUUUCUAAGAAGACCCCACGGCAUCGUUUGUCCCCGUCGUGCCCAAGGCCCCGGGAAGCCAGGCAGGAAGCAGAGGACUCUGUGCCGCGGCUCUCUGUGCCGCCUGGAGAAUCCAGCCAGGUGGUGGAGGACAUCGGUCCUGACCCCAUCCCUGACUGUUACUAUGGGCUUCUUGGGACCUUGCCUGGCCAGGAGCCCCAGAGCCAUAUCUGUAGCCUGCCCAGCGAGGUCCUGAGGCACAUCUUUGCCUUCCUCCCCGUGGAGGACCUCUACUGGAACCUGAGCCUGGUGUGCCACCUCUGGAGGGAGAUCAUCAGUGACCCGCUGUUCAUUCCUUGGAAAAAGCUGUAUCACCGAUACCUGAUGAAUGAAGAGCAAGCUGUCAGCAAGGUGGACGGCAUCCUGUCCAGCUAUGGUAUAGAGAAGGAGUCGGACCUCUGUGUGCUGAACCUCAUCCGCUACACAGCCACCACUAAGUGCUCCCCGAGUGUGGACCCCGGGCGGGCGUUGUGGAGUCUGCGGGAUCACCUCCUCCUCCCCGAGGCAGAGGCCUGCGUGCGCCAGCACCUGCCCGAUCUCUACGCUGCCCCUGCGGGCGUCAACGUGUGGGCGCUGGUAGCGGCCAUUGUCCUCCUGUCCAGCAGUGUCCAGGACAUCCAGCAGCUGCUCUUCUGCCUCCGGCGGCCUGGCUCCACCGUGACCAUGCCGGACGUUGCUGAGACCCUGUACUGCAUCGCUGUGCUGCUCUAUGCCAUGCGGGAGAAGGGCAUUAACAUCAGCAACCGGAUUCACUACAACAUUUUCUAUUGCCUGUAUCUUCAGGAGAAUUCCUGUGCUCAGGCCACGGACGUCAAAGAGGAACCGUCGGUCUGGCCAGGUAAGAAGACCACCAUCCAACUCACACAUGAACAGCAGCUGAUUCUGAGCCAUAAGAUGGAGCCCCUUCAGGUGGUGAAAAUCAUGGCCUUUGCAGGCACCGGGAAGACCUCCACUCUGGUCAAGUACGCUGAGAAGUGGUCCGAGAGCAGGUUUCUGUACGUGACCUUUAACAAGAGCAUCGCCAAGCAGGCCGAGCUCGUCUUCCCCAGCAAUGUCAUCUGCAAGACCUUCCACUCCAUGGCCUACGGCCACGUCGGGCGAAAGUACCAAUUAAAGAAGAAACUGAAUCUCUUCAAGUUAACACCCUUCAUGGUCAACUCUGUCCUUGCGGAAGGGAAGGGUGGCUUCAUCAGGGCCAAGCUAGUCUGUAAGACUCUGGAGAACUUUUUCGCCUCGGCCGAUGAGGAGCUGACCAUCGACCACGUGCCCAUCUGGUGUAAGAACAGCCAAGGACAGAGGGUCAUGGUCGAGCAGAGCGAGAAACUGAACGGUGUCCUCGAAGCCAGCCGGCUCUGGGACAACAUGCGGAAGCUGGGCGAGUGCAAGGAGGAGGCCUACCAGAUGACGCAUGAUGGCUACCUGAAGCUCUGGCAGCUCAGCAAGCCUCUACUGGCCUCUUUUGAUGCCAUCUUCGUAGACGAGGCCCAGGACUGUACCCCAGCUAUCAUGAACAUCGUCCUGUCUCAGCCUUGCGGGAAGAUCUUUGUAGGGGACCCACACCAGCAGAUCUAUACCUUCCGGGGUGCAGUCAAUGCUCUGUUCACAGUCCCCCACACGCACGUCUUCUAUCUCACUCAGAGCUUCAGGUUUGGUGUGGAAAUCGCGUACGUGGGAGCUACCAUCCUGGACGUCUGCAAGAGAGUGAGAAAGAAGACGCUGGUGGGAGGGAACCAUCAGAGUGGCAUCAGAGGUGACACCAAGGGGCAGGUGGCCCUGCUGUCCCGGACCAAUGCCAACGUGUUUGACGAGGCCGUCCGGGUGACGGAAGGAGAGGUGCCCGCCCGCAUCCACUUGAUUGGGGGAAUUAGGUCAUUUGGAUUGGACAGAAUCAUCGAUAUUUGGACCCUUCUGCAGCCGGAGGAGGAACGGAAGAAACAAAACUUGGUCAUCAAAGACAAGUUCAUUAGAAGGUGGGCACACAGAGAGGGCUUCAGCGGCUUCAAGCGGUACGUGACUGCCGCCGAGGACAAGGAGCUGGAAGCCAAGAUUGCGGUGGUGGAGAAGUACAACGUCCGGAUCCCGGAGCUGGUGCAGCGCAUCGAGCGGUGCCACAUCGAGGACUUGGACUUCGCAGAGUACAUUCUGGGCACCGUGCACAAGGCCAAAGGCCUGGAGUUUGACACUGUGCACGUCCUGGACGAUUUCGUGAAAGUGCCUUGUGCCCGGCACAACCUGGCUCAGCUGCCCCACUUCAGAGUCGAGUCGUUCUCUGAGGACGAAUGGAACUUACUGUAUGUGGCGGUAACUCGUGCCAGGAGGCGCCUCAUCAUGACCAAGUCCUUGGAGAACAUCCUGACGUUGGCUGGGGAGUACUUCUUGCAAGUGGAGCUGACGAGUAACGUGUUAAAGACGGGCGUGGUUCGCUGCUGCGUGGGGCAGUGCAGCAACGCCAUCCCAGUGGACACCGUGCUCACCAUGCGGAAGCUCCCCAUCACCUACAGCAACAGGAAGGAGAACAAGGGCGGGUACCUCUGCCACUCGUGCGCGGAGCAGCGCAUCGGGCCGCUGGCCUUCCUGACCGCCUCCCCGGAGCAGGUGCGCGCCAUGGACCGCACCGUGGAGGACGUUGUGCUGCCGCGGCACGAAGCCCUGCUUUUCCUCGUGUUCUGACGUCAGGGAGGAGCGCUCCUCGGGCCGGGGCCGGGCGGGCUCCUGCCCCGCAGACGGCGCAUCGGGGCCUCCCUGCCCCGACCCCGGACUCACUCGCGGAGCGUUUUCUGAGGACGACGAAGCCCACCAGAGUUGGACCUUGCGGUUUCUCCGCCCCUCGCUUCAGGGAUGCAGAUGGCAGGUGGGGGAGCUGGCCUGGCCGUGCCCAGAGCUCGCCGCAUCUAGUUCGCGCCCGGCCCGCGGAGUGGAGAGCAGACCUCGUGGCUUGAGCCGCUGCAGCCUCCCCUAACCCCUCCUCCGUCAGGCCUCUAGUGGACGUAGCGGGCGGCCGGUGAGUAAAGCGAGGUGCUGGGGCGGGGAGCGCCGAGUUAACGGCUGCAGCUGGCGGAGGACAGAGGUGAACGCGUUGCCGGAAAGGGACGGGCUGGGGCAUCCACUCCACCAGCACGCCUGGCCUUCCUUACUUGGUGCUUUUGGAUAACUGAACAAAACAGCGAGUGAAGGGAAAUGAUGUGGAUGUGGACCCGGCACAGUGUCCAGGGUCGUUGGAAAGAGGGGUUUGGGGGAUGAGUGGCGAUAGGGGGUGGGGAUGUUGGUUUAUGGAAGCAUUUACUGGAAACCUCGUUUUACCAACCAGAGAGGAGGCAGCUUAUUUACCGGAGGCAUCACGGCUCACUGGGCCUUCACGGAGCACCUGCUGUGGGGCAGAGGCCCUGGGAGUGGGCGUCUGGAAUGGGAAGUGGUCCUGGCUCACGGAGGUGGCGGUGAGCAGUGUGAUCGCAGAGAGGGGCCCGCAGCGCACCUGGGGCGGGAGGGGUGUCCUGCCAGAGCAGGUGGGGCUGGGGCUGAGCUUAGUAACAGGGCGGUGAUUAGCUGGCUCUUCAGGAAGGAAUGAGGGAAAGUAGGUUCCUGGAAGAAAGGGGAACAUGAAGGGAAAAAAGUGUGUGUGGUAACAGUACUGUCAGAGCAAACGUCAGCGCUGGUAUUUUGGUACUUAUUUAAAAAAAAAACAGAAUCUAGGAGUUGACAGUGGUAUUUAAUUUUUAAGUGUUAAGAAUUUCUUAAAAAAUUAUUAAAACCAAAUGGUUGUUUCAAAUAGAAAAAUAAUUUUUAAAUACACAGUAAAAAUAGAAAUUAUAUUUAUUUAUUUAAGUCUCUUAAGGAACUCAGUAGUUUAUGAAGAUAGAAAUUCCUAUAUAAAAUUUAGUUUUGUUAAAUAUACUUACAAAGUUAAUUGUAUUUUAUUUAUGUAUUUUUAUUAAAUUUUUCUUAAUUGAAAUAUAGUUGUUUUACAAUGCUAGUUUCAGGCGUACAAGAUAAUGAUUUAACAUUUUUAUAGAUGGUACUCCAUUUGAAAUUAUUACAAACUAGUGGCUAUAAUUUCCCUGUGCUGGCUGAUAUAUUCUUGUUUGUUUUAUAUGUAGUAGUUCACAUCUCUUAAUCUCAUGUCCAUAUGUAUGAAGUUAAGUAUCUAUUAUGAUUUAAUAUAAGUAAUUAGAUGGAAAAAAUAAAAGCAUUAUUGAAAAAUAUAAACUAAAUACUAGAUGAAAAUGAAAAUCUUUUAGCUCUUUUUAAAAGUAUAGUCUUUAAGACAUAAGGCUUCCAUGGUUUCAUUGAGUUGUGAACAUAUUUUUGUGUAAGACUUUCUGUAGAAGUUUGGUUUUUUUGGUUGGUUUUGAUUUUAUAUCACAUAAAUUGGGAGAAAAAUAAGGGAAAUAAUUAUAAGCUAGUUCCUGAUAUUUUUCUUUGGUUCACUAGUUUUUUAAUAAUCCUUUUAUUUGGUAACUUGGAGGUCUUUUUUUGUUUUUCUAAGAAUUCGAAGACCACUGAUAGCAAGUUCUAGUUUUUUGUUUCAAAGAAAGGAUUUCUGAUUUGUCUCCAUCUUCUUUGAUUUUUUCUUGUAUAUAGGGAUUUUGAUGCAGUUACCCAUAUAAAAACAAAUUCUGUUAUGUCAUGUUCCAUUCGUCUAGACGAUAUUUGAAAUACAAUAAAAACUAUUCUUGGAAUAGAAGCAUUCAGAUACCAUAGUGCAUUGUGGACUAUGCAUUAGUUUGUCCUUCCACAUAAUUAUUCUGAAGACAUAUUUCAGACUUUAGAUUAAAAAAAAAGGUGAUAGCAUUAGACCAACCUAAAAUACUGAUCUAGAGAUGUUUUAAAAUAUCACAGAAUCUCAGCAGCUGAAAUUGCCAUCACUAAAGGUCUGACACUGCAGGAAAUACCUGAGGAGAUGAGAAAUGUGUGUGGCUGGAGGGUGUAUACAGUAGGAGCAGGCGAGUGAGGGGCCAGGCAGUAAAGGGCCCUGGACAUGCGGGAGUUUGAGUGGUUGCCUGAAAAACUACGAGGAAUGAGUGAAAAAUUUUAAGACAUCAGAUUUUCUAUUCAGGAAGAACAUUCCAGUUGUAGGUGGGAGGGUGUUUUAAGAAGGUCAGAUAAAUUAAAAGGCCCAGAGUCGUCGUUGCAGCAAGAAAUGACAGCUGAUGGGCUGGACCAGGACAGCUGGAGUGGGUCUGGUGAGGAGGGGGUGGGUGCUGGAGGGGUGGGGCUUACAGUGCGGCCCCCAGGGGAGCGGCGUGAGCCUCGCCCGGGAACUUGAUGCACAUGCACAUUCUCGGCCCUCGCCCCACAUCUGCUGGACCAGAAGCCAUGAGGUUGAGGCCUGGCAGUUGGUGUUGGACACGCCCUGUGAGAGGUUCUGAUGCACACUAAGUCUGGGGAAAGUGCCCUCGGGAUCAAGAGGUAGAGUCAACAGGAUGCGGGGAGUGCUUCGAUGGGCACAGUGAGUCAGUGGUAGGAAUCCCAGCGGCACCUCCGUUUCCUGGCUCGUUUGCAGGGUAGGUGAGGGUGCCCUUCAAUGAGGUCUGCUGCUGAGGGCAGGGGAGGGUCCGUGGGGGUGGUCUUCUGGGCCGCUGGGAGACUGAGCCUCCAGCUUUCCCCUGUAUCUUCAUCCCAGUACUGGGGCCUCAUCCGUAUCCAGUCAGUGCUUUACCUUCCAGCUUUCAGAUUUCCUAAACCUGGUGCUGCUGUUAAAUCCAGCUAAUGUGACUCAACACAUUGAAGACUCAGACUCGUAAGUGGGGUUUCCGGCUCUCUGGCCUUGCGUCUCUAAGGGAUGCAACUCAGCGUGGCUAUGAAGUCUCUCGGUUCCAGUCUCCGGUGGCUCAAGUUGAGACUUCAGGGAUUUGGGCUCGUUGUUCUCUGCCUGAAUUGUUCAGGGCCAUUAGUGGUAGCCGCCCAUCUGCGGCCUUGGGUGUCUCUCCCCGUAGUAUUUGAGGCAGGCAGAGGUGCUGUCUCCCGGGGCCGGGCCUACGGCGGGCAGCCGUUCAGGCCACCUCUGAGGAGCGAAUUCCCUGCCACUAGAGUCCCACCUCAGACGGUGAGCAGAACCUAGCGCUGUUUGCUGCCGUGUCCGAGGCAGAGAACCAGCCGAAGCUGUACUUUAUUUCCCUACUUCUCUGUAAUUGGCAGUACCCACUCCUAGUACCAAAUUAUUGGUUGGGACCUUUGAAUAACAAGUAAUGAAAAUGGAAUUUGUAAUAAGGAAAAAGAAAAUUUGCUGGAGAAAUGUGGGGGGGCUCAGAGAAUCACAGGAAGAUGGAGGUUUAGGUCUGGAAACGGGGUAGGAACCAAAGCAGUGUGGAGAACUCAGAAACAGGCAGCUUGACAGCCGUGCGAUGCCGGAAUCCUUGCCAGUGUGGGCUCUGUGGUCCCGUCGUGUUUAUCCAGUCCCUACUCAGUGCGUCCAAUGGGUCUCGCUGGGGUCAGGGGUCAGGGGUCACCCCUACCCUGGGGGGGUGGGGAGAGGGGAUAUCAGCCUCUGCGUUGGUGGGUGGUGAGGCUCUCCAACACAAUGGCGGGUCCCCAAAACUGGAGAAGAGGGAGUGUUACAUCCUGGAUACCUGAAAACAGCAAAAGUAGAAUGGGUGGACGGGAGAAAAGUGUGAACCAGAAUUCCUGCAUAAAUGUAGCGCCGUAUAUUUAGAAAUUCUGGGCAAACAGUCACACAUUGAAGUCCUGAUAUGUCCCCGGCCGUGCAAGGUGGUGGGGAUGCUGUGGUUUGAAUCUGGCUGGUCUUGCCUUCAAGGACACAGGCUGAUGGGGAAACAAGCAAGUAAACUCAGAAUUCUCAGCUGCAUUCUUUAAGUCCUGAGGCCAGAAUGGAAGAAAGCAGAGUGAGCAAUUAGAAACCCUUCAGUGUGCCUUUUUGGUCCCUGGUCUCUUAACUUCCUAAUGGCUAGAGGAGGGCUUCAGAAGAGGAGAGAACAAGUCUUACUUAUUGGUCAAGGAAAAUCAAGUGAAGAUAAAAAAGAUGAAGGCCACUUAGCGUUCCUCGUGACGAAUGUGGAAGACAGGAAAUGAGAGGAGGGAGAAAUGUGAAUUAUGCCGCUCUGUAGCCAGCUGACGGUGUCAUCCGGGCCAGGGACUUCACAGCUGGGGAACUCGCAAAUCCUGCUGAGUGCUGUGUACUUUCCUGCUGAGAAACAGAAAUACAAAGACGGACCCUUCUCAGCACCUGGCAGAUGCAGACCCCGGUCCUUCUCUGCACUCAUUCAUCCAGCAUUCCUUGGCAUUUACGGAGUGCCGAGAUUGAAAGAUGAAUGCCACUCCCCUGGUGGCCUUGAGAAGGACUGUGGUGGACAGUCUCCAAAGAUGGUUUCCCUUGGUUCCUUGCCUCCUUUUUUGUCAUUCCUCCCUCCCCUUGAGGCUGGGUGGCCUGGUGGCUUGCUUUGACCAAUACAGUGCAACAGAUGUGCCCAUAAAAUGUGCCAGUUCCUGGC